GGUCAAGUUACUAAGGGUGUAUGGAGGAUGUCUAGGCAUCGAGAGGCGAUGAAGGACGUGGUAGACUGCGAUAAGUCCGGGGCAGGUGUCAAACAACCGUUAAUCCCGGAAUUUCCGAAUAGGGAAACCGAACUUUGUUUAUACGAAGUUAUCACCGGCUGAAUGUAUAGGCCGGUUGAAGCCAACGCAGGGAACUGAAACAUCUAAGUACCUGUAGGAAAGGAAAUCAAAUAGAGACUCCGUCAGUAGCGGCGAGCGAAAGCGGACAAGCCCAAACCGACCUUCGGGUCGGGGUUGCGGACAUCGGUAAGGAGUUACAAAGACAUCACAAGCGGAAUCAGCUGGAAAGCUGGACCAGAGAGGGUGAAAGUCCCGUAUGCAAAAGUGAAUGUCCUCCGUUACUGCCGAUGCUCCAGAGUAGCACGGAUCUCGUGAAACUCCGUGCGAAGCAGGGGAGCCCAUUCUCCAAGGCUAAGUACUACUCGAUGACCGAUAGUGAAAUAGUAGCGCGAGCGAAAGAUGAAAAGUACCCCUAUUAGGGGAGUUAAAAGUACCUGAAACCAUACACUUACAAAGCUGUAGGAGGGCUAUGGUUACUCUUCGGAGUAACAAUGCCUGACUGCGUGCCUUUUGCAUAAUGAGCCGGCGAGUUACCUUUUACGGCAAGGUUAAGCACUUCAGGUGCGCAGCCGAAGCGAAAGCGAGUCUGAAUAGGGCGUAAGUCGUAAGGGGUAGACGCGAAACCACGUGAUCUACGCAUGGCCAGGUUGAAGGGGAUGUAAAAGUCUCUGGAGGACCGAACUCAUUAACGUUGAAAAGUUAUGGGAUGAGCUGUGCGGAGGAGUAAAAGUCUAAUCAAACGUGGAGAUAUCUCGUUCUCUCCGAAAUAGCUUUUGGGCUAGCGUUGAGCGUUUCUUUACGGGGGUAGAGCUACUGAAUGGGGACAAGGGGCUACCCGCCUACUUUCCCCAACCAAACUCCGAAUACCGUAAAAUUAAGCUUGGCAGUCAGUCUGCGGGUGAUAACAUUCGUGGUCAAAAGGGAAGCAACCCAGACCGCCAGCUAAGGUCCCGAAUCUAUGCUAAGUUCUUAAGGAAGUCAAACUGCUGUGACAGUCAGGAUGUUGGCUUAGAAGCAGCCAUCAUUUAAAAAGUGCGUAAUAGCUUACUGACCGAGCAGUCUGGUGCCGACAAUGAUCGGGAAUAAGCAUAGAACCGAAGCUGCGGAUUUAAUAUACUAUCUUCGGAUAGUCUAAUAAGUGGUAGGAGAGCGUAACAAUCAGCGUCGAAGCGAUACGGUAACGAAUCGUGGAGCGUUUGUUAGUGAUUAUGCCGGCAUGAGUAACGAUAAAACAGGUGAGAAUCCUGUUCGCCGUAAACCUAAGGUUUCCUGGGGAAGGUAGAUCCGCCCAGGGUUAGUCGGACCCUUAGUCCAGGCUGAAAGGCGUAGACGAUGGACAGCAGGUUAAUAUUCCUGCACUAGUUCAGUGGACGAAAACAGUGACGCAUUUUAAUACGCAUAUCCCGUGAUUAGUCGUGCGGGUACCGCAAGGUCGAGGCCGUUUUUCGAUGCCGAAGUAUGUUUGUAGAGUGCCAAGAAAUAGCUGUCGUAGGACGAAGCUGAACUAUCCGUACUAAAACUGACACAGGUAGGUAAGGAGAAUAUCCUAAGGCGCUCGAGAUAACUGUCCUUAAGGAACUAGGCAAUUUGACCCCGUACGUUCGCAAUAAGGGGUCCCUACAUGUCUAUUUAGCAAUAGAUAGAUGAUGAGGGCGCAGUGAAGUGGCUCUGGCGACUGUUUAUCAAAAACACAGUUCUGUGCUAACACGUAAAGUGGAUGUAUACAGAAUGACGCGUGCUCGGUGCCGGAAGGUUAAGGAAGGCGGUCAUUGGGGGUAACCCUGAGAAGCUGGCGACCGAAGCCCCGGUAAACGGCGGCCGUAACUAUGACGGUCCUAAGGUAGCGAAGUUCCUUGUCGGGUAAGUUCCGACGUGCAUGAACCGCGUAACGACUGGAGCAGUGUCUCAAGGACAGACUCGGUGAAAUUGUAGUUGUGGCGAAGAUACCACGUACCCGCAGCAAGACGGAAAGACCCCAUGAACCUUUACUGUAUCCUGAUAUUGAUGCCUGUCAUAGACUGCGUAGGAUAGGUGGGAGGCUUUGAUCCGCUGUUUUCGGGCAGCGGGGAGCCAACGUUGAAAUACCACCCUGGCUAUGUUAGUCGUCUAACUGUGUUCCGUGAAUCCGGACAUAGGACAGUGUUAGGUGGGCAGUUUGACUGGGGCGGUCUUCUCCCAAAGUGUAACGGAGAAGUUCAAAGGUACCCUCAGCACGGUUGGCAAUCGUGCAUAGAGCGCAAAGGUAUAAGGGUGCUUAACUGCGAGACGGAUAUGUCAAGCAGAUGCGAAAGCAGGACUUAGUGAUCCGGUGGUUCCGAAUGGAAGGGCCAUCGCUCAUCAGACAAAAGGUACUCUGGGGAUAACAGGCUGAUCGCACCCGAGCGUCCAUAGCGGCGGUGCGGUUUGGCACCUCGAUGUCGGCUCAUCACAUCCUGGGGCUGAAGGUGGUCCCAAGGGUUCGGCUGUUCGCCGAUUAAAGUGGUACGCGAGCUGGGUUCAGACCGGCGUGAGCCAGGUCGGUCCCUAUCUGCUGUGGGUGUAGGAAUCUUGAAGGGAAUAUUUCUCUAGUACGAGAGGACUGAGAAGUACUGACCUCUGGUGUACCGGUUGUCGCGCUAGCGGCAUAGCCGGGUAGCUAUGUCGGGAAAGGAUAACCGCUGAAAGCAUCUAAGCGGGAAGCCCCUCCCAAGACUAAGAUUCCGUUUCCGAUUCGUCGGAAUGAAGAGCCCUUAAAGACUAUGAGGUUGAUAGGCUGGAUGUGUAAGUGACGAAAAUCACUCAGCUAACCAGUACUAACGCUCGACCACUUGGCCAU
rnacentral:rRNA from 1 species